rnacentral:rRNA from 1 species
CCUACGGGAGGCAGCAGUAGGGAAUCUUCCACAAUGGGCGAAAGCCUGAUGGAGCAACGCCGCGUGGGUGAAGAAGGUCUUCGGAUCGUAAAACCCUGUUGUUAGAGAAGAAAGUGCGUGAGAGUAACUGUUCACGUUUCGACGGUAUCUAACCAGAAAGCCACGGCUAACUACGUGCCAGCAGCCGCGGUAAUACGUAGGUGGCAAGCGUUAUCCGGAUUUAUUGGGCGUAAAGGGAACGCAGGCGGUCUUUUAAGUCUGAUGUGAAAACCUUGGGCUUAACCGGAGUAGUGCAUUGGAAACUGGGAGACUUGAGUGCGGAAGAGGAGAGUGGAACUCCAUGUGUAGCGGUGAAAUGCGUAGAUAUAUGGAAGAACACCAGUGGCGAAGGCAGCUCACUGGUCUGUAACUGACGCUGAGGUUCGAAAGCGUGGGUAGCAAACAGGAUUAGAUACCCGUGUAGUC